GCCCCGGUAGCUCAGCUGGAUAGAGCGACUCCCUCCUAAGGAGUAGGCCGCAGGUUCGACUCCUGCUCGGGGCA
rnacentral:tRNA from 1 species